GAUUAAGUUUGAUUUAAAUAUAAGUAUAAAAAUAUUGUAGAGACACAUCUUUAUAUUUGAGCUAUUUAUACUUUGACCCAAAAAUUAAAAAAAUAUCAAUUAAUCAUCAAAAUUUUAAAUUUAUUGCAAUAUGAUCCAAUCUUUUAUUAGGAUCCUAACAUCGUUAAUAAAAUAAGAAAAAAAGAGAAAAAUGUCCUUACUUCAGAUAGACAGUCCUUUAUCAUUAGAGAUGGUAAUUGGGUGGGUCAAGUUAGAUAUAGACC
rnacentral:lncRNA from 1 species